rnacentral:lncRNA from 1 species
UUUCAUUGGGGAAUUUUAUAAACAGUUGAAGUGAAACCAAUACACCACUGUAAGCAAACCAGCUUGUCUCUUCACAAGCAGUAACUGAAGAGCCAAAGUAUUCCUCUCAUGGAUCGACCACCACACAAUACAGUGACUCUUGAUUUCCUGUAGUUGCCGAGUCAAACACCAUCACCGAACAUCUCCACUAUUCUUAAUUAAUUUCUGAAAAAAUAAUGUCCCGAUACAGGUAGAUCUUUACCUGACCACUUGGGCCGUCUUCACCUAAGCACUUGCACUUCUUGAAAUUCAUGCACACAA